rnacentral:rRNA from 1 species
GGGUAGGGGAGCGUUCUGUAAGCGGUUGAAGGUGGUCUGUAAGGGCUGCUGGACGUAUCAGAAGUGCGAAUGCUGACAUGAGUAACGAUAAAGGGAGUGAAAAACUCCCUCGCCGGAAGACCAAGGGUUCCUGUCCAACGUUAAUCGGGGCAGGGUAAGUCGACCCCUAAGGCGAGGCCGAAAGGCGUAGUCGAUGGGAAACGGGUUAAUAUUCCCGUACUUCUUAUAAUUGCGAUGGGGGGACGGAGAAGGCUAGGUGGGCCUGGCGAUGGUUGUCCAGGUUCAAGUAUGUAGGCGGAAGGUUUAGGUAAAUCCGGACUUUCUUAACGCUGAGAUACGAUGUCGAGCUGCUACGUGCAGUGAAGUCAUUGAUGCCAUGCUUCCAGGAAAAGCCUCUAAGCUUCAGAUUAUAAGGAAUCGUACUCCAAACCGACACAGGUGGUCGGGUAGAGAAUACCAAGGCGCUUGAGAGAACUCGGGUGAAGGAACUAGGCAAAAUGGUACCGUAACUUCGGGAGAAGGUACGCUCUUGGCGGUGAARUCCCUUGCGGAUGGAGCUACUAGGAGUCGCAGAUACCAGGUGGCUGCAACUGUUUAUUAAAAACACAGCACUGUGCAAAAUCGUAAGAUGACGUAUACGGUGUGACGCCUGCCCGGUGCCGGAAGGUUAAUUGAUGGGGUUAGACUUAGGUCGAAGCUCUUGAUCGAAGCCCCGGUAAACGGCGGCCGUAACUAUAACGGUCCUAAGGUAGCGAAAUUCCUUGUCGGGUAAGUUCCGACCUGCACGAAUGGCGUAAUGAUGGCCACGCUGUCUCCACCCGAGACUCAGUGAAAUUGAAAUCGCUGUGAAGAUGCAGUGUACCCGCGGCUAGACGGAAAGACCCCGUGAACCUUUACUACAGCUUGGCACUGAACAUUGACCCUACAUGUGUAGGAUAGGUGGGAGCCUUUGAAACUUCGUCGCUAGAUGGAGUGGAGGCAAUCUUG